rnacentral:rRNA from 1 species
UACGUAGGGUGCGAGCGUUAAUCGGAAUUACUGGGCGUAAAGCGUGCGCAGGCGGUUUUGUAAGCCAGAUGUGAAAUCCCCGGGCUUAACCUGGGAAUGGCAUUUGGGGCUGCAAGGCUUGAGUGCGGCAGAGGAGACUGGAAUUCCUGGUGUAGCAGUGAAAUGCGUAGAUAUCAGGAGGAACACCGAUGGCGAAGGCAGGUCUCUGGGCUGACACUGACGCUCAUGCACGAAAGCGUGGGGAGCAAACAGG